rnacentral:pre_miRNA from 1 species
UAUUAAUUUUUUUUUCUAUUUCUACAGUUAAAAAUUGGUAUGAUUGAUGAAAUAACCAAACAGUUACACGUGUCGAACUAUGUGUAUCUCAUGCUACUGUAAAGGAACCAACUUUUAAUUGUAAAAAUGAAAGAAAUUUUUAACA